rnacentral:rRNA from 1 species
GAUGAACGCUGGCGGCGUGCCUAAUACAUGCAAGUCGAGCGAACGGACGAGAAGCCUGCUUCUCUGAUGUUAGCGGCGGACGGGUGAGUAACACGUGGAUAACCUACCUAUAAGACUGGGAUAACUUCGGGAAACCGGAGCUAAUACCGGAUGAUAUUUUGAACCGCAUGGUUCAAAAGUGAAAGACGGUCUUGCUGUCACUUAUAGAUGGAUCCGCGCUGCAUUAGCUAGUUGGUAAGGUAACGGCUUACCAAGGCAACGAUGCAUAGCCGACCUGAGAGGGGGAUCGGCCACACUGGAACGGAGACACGGUCCAGACUCCUACGGGAGGCAGCAGUAGGGAAUCUUCCGCAAUGGGCGAAAGCCUGACGGAGCAACGCCGCGUGAGUGAUGAAGGUCUUCGGAUCGUAAAACUCUGUUAUUAGGGAAGAACAUAUGUGUAAGUAACUGUGCACAUCUUGACGGUACCUAAUCAGAAAGCCACGGCUAACUACGUG